rnacentral:rRNA from 1 species
AAUCAACGCUGGCGGCGUGCCUAACACAUGCAAGUCGAACGAGAAGGUGACUUCGGUCACUGGAUAGUGGCGUCCGGGUGAGUAACACGUAGGUAAUCUACCUUCGGGUGGGGAAUAACGUCUCGAAAGAGACGCUAAUACCGCAUAAUGCAGCGGCACCUAAUGGUGAUUAGUUGUUAAAGCGGGGGAGUCUUCGGACCUCGCGCCUGAAGAGGAGCCUGCGGCAGAUUAGCUAGUUGGUGAGGUAAUGGCUCACCAAGGCUUCGAUCUGUAGCUGGUCUGAGAGGACGGCCAGCCACACUGGCACUGACACACGGGCCAGACUCCUACGGGAGGCAGCAGUGGGGAAUCUUGCGCAAUGGGCGAAAGCCUGACGCAGCGACGCCGCGGUGGGGGAGUGAAGCUUCUCGGAGU